CGGGCCCUGUCGCCGCGCUCCAUCUGGAUUGGCCAGACUCCCACGGCUCGUAACGGUCGCGGAGGCGGGGCCAGGAGGGGCUGAGAGGGGCCGGGCCGGGCGCGCUGCUGAGGGGAGGCCGCGGCUGAGGAAGAUGAAGAUCCAGUUUCGGACGUGAGACUCACUGGGUGAUCAUUUCAUUGAGAUCAACCUGAAUGACCAGGUGAAAAGUGCAAGAGGAAUGUGCUAUGACUGAGUGCUACAAGAACAUAUAACAAGAGGACCUGAUCUAGUCAUGGGAUCAGGGGAGUUUUCCCUGAAGAAAGAAAUCUGAGCCAGGAUCUGAAGGUCAGGCAACGUGAAUAUUUUUUAUUGCCAAUCUACUUCUUCUGAUUUAACAAAAGAUACUAUAUCUCCAGCAGCCCCUAAAGCCUAGGAGAAAUUAUA